UGGGGGGGGGGGUGUUAUUAAGGUAAAUGUUUUUUUAUUAAAAUGCUAAGAAAAAUAUGUCAUUUGUGAAAUUAAUUUUUAAAAAUUUAUUAUUUUUGACAGAAAUCAUUGCUAAAAAUCAAAUCUCAUAAACAACUAUUAGAGUUAUUUAAAACACCAAUGUAAUUAAAUUAUUUCCAUGGGCCCUCAUCACAUCAUGUUACAUUAUUAUUUUGUGGAAUACUGUACUGUAAAAACAAGAUGUAAUGUGUAACAAUACAUUUGAAAUAAAAUAUAUAUAUUUUUGGAAAACAA